rnacentral:rRNA from 4 species
UCGCGAGAGCAAGCGGACCUCAUAAAGUGCGUCGUAGUCCGGAUUGGAGUCUGCAACUCGACUCCAUGAAGUCGGAAUCGCUAGUAAUCGUGGAUCAGAAUGCCACGGUGAAUACGUUCCCGGGCCUUGUACACACCGCCCGUCACACCAUGGGAGUGGGUUGCAAAAGAAGUAGGUAGCUUAACCUUCGGGAGGGCGCUUACCACUUUGUGAUUCAUGACUGGGGUGAAGUCGUAACAAGGUAACCGUAGGGGAACCUGCGGUUGGAUCACCUCCUUACCUUAAAGAAGC